UUUUAGCCCUGAUGGAAGUAGAAAUCCUGGCGUUGUGAGAUUGUUUUACAAGCUCGCAAGGACAGAUUGCAACGGACAGCAGGAACAUGG
rnacentral:sRNA from 1 species